rnacentral:rRNA from 1 species
UACGUAGGGUCCGAGCGUUGUCCGGAAUUAUUGGGCGUAAAGAGCUCGUAGGCGGUUUGUCGCGUCUGCUGUGAAAACCCGGGGCUCAACCCCGGGCCUGCAUUCGAUACGGGCAGACUAGAGUUCGGUAGGGGAGUCUGGAAUUCCUGGUGUAGCGGUGAAAUGCGCAGAUAUCAGGAGGAACACCGGUGGCGAAGGCGGGUCUCUGGGCCGAUACUGACGCUGAGGAGCGAAAGCGUGGGGAGCGAACAGG